AUUGAACGCUGGCGACAUGCCUUACACAUGCAAGUCGAACGGCAGCACGGGUGCUUGCACCUGGUGGCGAGUGGCGAAAGGGUGAGUAAUACAUCGGAACAUGUCCUGUAGUGGGGGAUAGCCCGGCGAAAGCCGGAUUAAUACCGCAUACGAUCUACGGAUGACAGCGGGGGACCUUUGGGCCUCGCGCUAUAGGGUUGGCCGAUGGCUGAUUAGCUAGUUGGUGGGGUAAAGGCCUACCAAGGCGACGUUCAGUAGCUGGUCUGAGAGGACGACCAGCCACACGGGGACUGAGACACGGCCCAGACUCCUACGGGAGGCGGCAGUGGGGAAUUUUGGACAAUGGGCGAAAGCCUAAUCCAGCAAUGCCGCGUGUGGGAAGAAGGCCUUCGGGUUUUAAAGCACGUUUGUCCGGAAAGAAAUCCUUGGCCCUAAUACGGUCGGGGGAUGACGGUACCGGAAGAAUAAGCACCGGCUAACUACGUG
rnacentral:rRNA from 1 species